rnacentral:rRNA from 1 species
CGCCUGAGUAGUAUGCACGCAAGUGUGAAACUUAAAGGAAUUGACGGGGAUCCGCACAAGCGGUGGAGCAUGUGGUUUAAUUUGAAGAUACGCGUAGAACCUUACCCACUCUUGACAUCUUCCGCAAAGCUAUAGAGAUAUAGUCGAGGUUAACGGAAUGACAGAUGGUGCAUGGUUGUCGUCAGCUCGUGUCGUGAGAUGUUCGGUUAAGUCCUGCAACGAGCGCAACCCUUGUCCUUAGUUAGAUGAUCUAAGGAGACUGCCCGAGUAAUUGGGAGGAAGGUGGGGACGACGUCAAAUCAUCAUGCCUCUUACGAGUGGGGCCACACACGUGCUACAAUGGACGGUACAAAGAGAAGCAAAACGGCGACGUCAAGCAAAUCUCAAAAAACCGUUCUCAGUUCGGAUUGUAGUCUGCAACUCGACUACAUGAAGUCGGAAUCGCUAGUAAUCGUAGAUCAGCUACGCUACGGUGAAUACGUUCUCGGGUCUUGUACACACCGC